AACGAACGCUGGCGGCAUGCCUAACACAUGCAAGUCGAACGAGACCUUCGGGUCUAGUGGCGCACGGGUGCGUAACGCGUGGGAACCUGCCCUUAGGUUCGGAAUAACUCCCCGAAAGGGGUGCUAAUACCGGAUAAUGUCUUCGGACCAAAGAUUUAUCGCCUUUGGAUGGGCCCGCGUUGGAUUCGCUAGUUGGUAGGGUAAAAGCCUACCAAGGCGACGAUCCAUAGCUGGUCUGAGAGGAUGAUCAGCCACACUGGGACUGAGACACGGCCCAGACUCCUACGGGAGGGAGCAGUGGGGAAUAUUGGACAAGGGGCGAAAGCCUGAUCCAGCAAUGCCGCGUGAGUGAUGAAGGCCUUAGGGUUGUAAAGCUCUUUUACCCGGGAUGAUAAUGACAGUACCGGGAGAAUAAGCUCCGGCUAACUCCGUG
rnacentral:rRNA from 1 species